rnacentral:rRNA from 1 species
UACAGAGGUGGCGAGCGUUGUUCGGAUUUACUGGGCGUAAAGGGCGCGUAGGCGGCCGCGUGUGUCGCGUGUGAAAUCCCCGGGCUCAACCCGGGAAGUGCGCGCGAAACUGCGGGGCUCGAGCGGAGGAGGGGAGAGCGGAAUUCAUGGUGUAGCGGUGAAAUGCGUUGAUAUCAUGAGGAACACCGGUGGCGAAGGCGGCUCUCUGGAAUCCUGCUGACGCUGAGGCGCGAAAGUCGGGGGAGCAAACAGGAUUAGAUACCCG